GACAGGAUGGCUGGGAAGCGGCGGGAAUCCUUCAUCUUGUUCUCCAGCGGCAGAAUCUACAAAAACGUCAGUGUACAAAGGAAGAAGAAGAACGAGGACCGUGAAUAUAAAAGCAUCCGCUUAUUAGGAAAACAAGGCUCUGAAGAUGAAGAAACCUGCCUCAAGGAAGUGGGGCACUGCUAGGCUGCGGACUAGGGCUGUCCUCCAAGUCCAGGUACACCUCUUCCGUGCAGGCUUGCCUGAUCUCUGACAGCACCGGGCAUAUUCAUUACUCAGUAGGAAUUUAGCAUCUGUUCCCUUGAACUCUUAACUCCUUUUUUGUCCUACAUGCAUCUGUCCCCAUGCAAAUGGAAAACACUUCAGGGGGGUGCCACAUCAGGGUCACUGCUGCGCCUCUCUGCUUUCUUCUGCGUUAGGGGCAGGUUCCUGGUUGUAGCUGUUGCUCAGGAAAAUGUCUAGGGGAUUAUGUGGAGAGCAGAGAGUUGGACCUGAGUUUUCCCACACUGCAGUACAUUUCUGCUGUGUAAAUUCCCCAGGUGAAAAAUGAUCUUUUCACAAGGCUUGAUCAUACUCAGUAGUUGGCGUUCUCUCUCUCUCUUCCUCAACAAUCAAAGAGAUAAAUGGCUGUUCACAUAAAGUGGGAAGGUCCCUGGACUGGGAGUGAGGAGCAACUUGGUUUUAGCCAUAGCUGCAGCUGUUCACAGCUGGUGGCCUGGCUCAAGUCCUUUUCCGUUUUUGGAGCUUAGGCUCUGCUUCUGCAAAAUUGGAGACUGGCCUAAAAGAUUUCUAAAGGUGAUUUGAAUUCAGACACUAAUAACCAUUAGCACAUAGUAGGUGUUUAAUAAAUAUUGAACACAUAUUACCAUCAUUUAGUGGGGGAAUUAGGGUUCAAAGCGUAGUCCAUGGCCAAAGUAAGAUUCCAGAACAUUCCACCUCCAAAUUUAUUUGCUCAACCACUGCACUUUUUGCCAUGACUGUCCAAAAUUAUAAAUAUAAAGUGCUUCCUGUUCUAUUAAGAUGGUGUAAGUACACUCUACCAUGUCUCCCUCACUGAUAAAUACUAAAAGCCUUGGAAGAAUACAGAAGCAACUAUCCAUGGACUCUCAGAAGUAUGUAAUAGUGGGUGGAUUGACCAAAACUAGUAAAAAUGGCCAUUAUGACAGUAAGUUUCCAGGUUUUUUUCCUUCCUGUAUCCCCAGUUUAGACACACAGGGACCCCAAGUACUAGAAAGACGCAGAGAUAACUCUAAGAGAAACCCUCUUUCUGGCCAGAGGACAUGAAUAGGAGGCCCUGUGGGACAGAGUAUGGAAAAAAUCCCUAUGUUUUUGUUUCUUUUUAUGCCCUCAAGGCCACACACCAAAACAUGUUCUAGCAGAGCAGCAUUCUGGUGUAUCAGUGACUGUGACAGUCACAUAGGCACCUAAAAGUCUGAGCCAAACUCAUCUCUAAGCAAGGAACUAGGAAAAGGGGCCUUGGGAACCAAUGAACGUGGGGGGAAAUCAGCCCUGGUAUAUUAAAUGUAGGGUCUAGAGCAAAAUGCAAAUGCAGGGCUUCUUGGUCAAAAAUCAAAAAUUUCAAGAUGAUGAAAGCAGAGCAUUAAACUACAAGCGGGAUCUUUCCAAAAGCAUUAAACAACAAGUGGGAUCCUUCCACACAGGUUGCAUGUCUGUGAAGUUGGCCAUGGGAGGAAUCCUUAUUAUUUAUUUAUCUUUCUUCCCUCUUUUCUUUCAGUGCUUAAUUCCUGAGCCAGACGCAGUCACAGAAAGUGCAUACGAGUGUAGGGAGCCUAAAACCCUGGCUUUCCAGACACAGGACCAGAAAAAGGAGCUAAUGGGAGCUGAUUAGGAGACACAUGUUGAUAUGAAGAUAAAUGUUUAACAGAUGUAUUGGGACAAGAAUUUAACUCUGUCUCCUGACUGCUUCUCUGUUGUAAUCGACUUUUCUCCUGCUAAUGACAACUGACCCAGGAAUAGUCUAUAGUUCACCAACCAAAAUGUUUUCCACACCAAGGAUAAUAUGUUUUUAAAGCCUGGAUUGACUAAAAGUGAGUACUGGAGGAUCAACAGAAAAGAAGAGAUAUCCUGAAGAAUGAGAUUGCACAGAGACACCUUUGUGGAAGAAAGCUGCAACGAGGUCAGUUCCAGGCUGAAGAGUGAGGUGUGUACCUGCCCCAGAGUCGGCUCCAGGGGUCAGUGGGUUGUGAUAAAAGGCUCUGGCCAGUGCAGGGGUGGGUGUGUGGC